GGGGAUAUAGCUCAGUGGUAGAGCCCUUGCCUGGCAAGUAUAAGGCCCUGGGUUUGAUCCCCAGCACCG
rfam:Ictidomys tridecemlineatus contig106950, whole genome shotgun sequence.